UAGUCCUAGCCGUAAACGAUGGAUACUAGACUUUGUGAUUACAGAGUCGUAGUUAACGCGUUAAGUAUCCCGCCUGGGUAGUACGACCGCAAGGUUAAAACUCAAAGGAAUUGACGGGGACCCGCACAAGCAGUGGAGCAUGUGGUUUAAUUCGAUGCAACGCGAAAAACCUUACCUGGGCUUGAACUGUAGGUAUUAGCUACCUGAAAGGGAUAGUGAUCCAACUUUGUUGGGAACCUACAGAGGUGCUGCAUGGCUGUCGGCAGCUCGUGUCGUGAGAUGUUGGGUUAAGUCCCGCAACGAGCGAAACCCUUGUUCUUAGUUGUCAGCGAGUAAUGUCGGAAACUUUAAGAAGACUGCCGGUGAUAAAUCGGAGGAAGGUGGGGAUGACGUCAAGUCAGCAUGGCCUUUAUGUCCAGGGCUACACACGUGCUACAAUGGGUGGUACAGCAGGAAGCAAUACCGCGAGGUGGAGCAAAAUCCUCAAAACCAUUCUUAGUUCGGAUUGCAGG
rnacentral:rRNA from 1 species